rnacentral:rRNA from 1 species
UACGACUACAUAUCAGGCAUAUCAAUAAGCGGAGGAAAAGAAACUAACAAGGAUUCCCUUAGUAACGGCGAGUGAAGCGGGAAGAGCUCAAAUUUGAAAUCUUCAAGGUUCUACCUUGACGAAUUGUAGUUUAAAGAAGUGUUUUCUGUUAGAUGAGUAGCAAAAGUUCCUUGGAAUGGGACAUCAUAGAGGGUGAGAAUCCCGUAUUUGGUUAUUCAUUCUAGCCUUGUGAUACACUUCCAAAGAGUCGGAUUGUUUGGGAAUGCAGUCCAAAAUGGGUGGUAAAUUUCAUCUAAAGCUAAAUAUUGGCGAGAGACCGAUAGCGAACAAGUACCGUGAGGGAAAGAUGAAAAGAACUUUGAAAAGAGAGUUAAACAGUACGUGAAAUUGUCAAAAGGGAAGCGUUUGACACCAGUGUUGUUUUUCCGAAAAAUCAAUUACGAAUGGCUUGAUUUUGUGUUGUAUUGACCUUAUCAGCUUUCUGCACUUUUUUCGAGUCUUUCUUAAUGCACUUUUCGGUUAACAAGUCAACAUCAAUUUCUUUUGUUGUAAAAGAGUACUCGGAAGGUGGCUUUCUUUUCGGAGAAAGUGUUUAUAGCCCUAUACUUCUACAAUCGGAGAGAUUGAGGUCUGCAGCGUAGAUCCCUUCGGGGUUAGAUACACUUGUGCUAAGUUGUAGCUUUUCAUAGACAACUUGUUGACUAUGUUUAGUCAUGCGGCUUACUCGCUUAUGCUAUUUUACCUACGCUUAGGAUGUUGAGUAGCGACAUACGCAC